rnacentral:rRNA from 1 species
CCUACGGGGGGCUGCAGUGAGGAAUAUUGGUCAAUGGACGCAAGUCUGAACCAGCCAUGCCGCGUGAAGGAAGACGGCUCUAUGUGUUGUAAACUUCUUUUGUACGAGGGUAAACGCAGAUACGUGUACCUGUCUGAAUGUAUCGUACGAAUAAGGAUCGGCUAACUCCGUGCCAGCAGCCGCGGUAAUACGGAGGAUUCAAGCGUUAUCCGGAUUUAUUGGGUUUAAAGGGUGCGUAGGCGGUCGGUUAAGUCAGUGGUGAAAUCCCGAGGCUCAACGUCGGCAUUGCCUCUGAUACUGGCAGGCUAGAGUAUAGUUGAGGUAGGCGGAAUGCGUGGUGUAGCGGUGAAAUGCUUAGAGAUCGUGCAGAACACCGAUUGCGAAGGCAGCUUACCAAGCUACCACUGACGUUGAGGCACGAAAGCGUGGGGAGCAAACAGGAUUAGAUACCCGGGUAGUC